UACGGAGGGUGCAAGCGUUAUCCGGAUUUACUGGGUUUAAAGGGUGCGUAGGUGGAUAAUUAAGUCAGUGGUGAAAUCUUCAGGCUUAACCUGGAAACUGCCAUUGAUACUAUUUAUCUUGAAUACUUUGGAGGUAAGCGGAAUAUGUCAUGUAGCGGUGAAAUGCUUAGAUAUGACAUAGAACACCAAUUGCGAAGGCAGCUUACUACACAGCAAUUGACACUGAGGCACGAAAGCGUGGGGAUCAAACAGGA
rnacentral:rRNA from 1 species